rnacentral:pre_miRNA from 1 species
UCUUAUGAACAAGCAGAGAAAGUGGUUUCUUGAGCUGGAAUCUGCUCUUGGUGAAGAUGCUAUGAA